rnacentral:lncRNA from 1 species
GCCGAGCAGAUCUUCUAUUUUUGGUCUGAACUUCUGCUGGAAAGUAGUACUCGGCAAAGUUUGAAGUUUCUUCAUUGAUCAUCUGUGCGACUAUAGAACCUUCCACCCUACUUAAAUUUUUCCCCAACUUCUUCAAAUGGAACAUAUACCACUCAUACAGAUACAUCCAUCUAUACUGCAUAAGACCACCAAGUUCCAAUUCUUUUGCCAGGUGAAUAACAAGAUGCUCCAUAACAUCAAAAAAUGAGGGAGAAAAUAUCUUCUCAAGGCUGCACUGAAUCACGGCUAUGUUAGUCUUCAAAUUUUCAAUACC